UACGAAGGGGGCUAGCGUUGUUCGGAAUCACUGGGCGUAAAGGGCGCGUAGGCGGCUGUUCAAGUCGGGGGUGAAAGCCUGUGGCUCAACCGCAGAAUUGCCUUCGAUACUGGACGGCUCGAGACCGGAAGAGGUCAGUGGAACUGCGAGUGUAGAGGUGAAAUUCGUAGAUAUUCGCAAGAACACCAGUGGCGAAGGCGGCUCACUGGCCCGAUACUGACGCUGAGGCACGAAAGCGUGGGGAGCAAACAGG
rnacentral:rRNA from 1 species